rnacentral:rRNA from 1 species
AUUGAACGCUGGCGGCAGGCCUAACACAUGCAAGUCGAACGAGUGGCGGACGGGUGAGUAAUGUCUGGGAAACUGCGCGAUGGAGGGGGAUAACGACUGGAAACGGUAGCUAAUACCGCAUACCAACGGAUGUGCACAGAUGGGAUUAGCUAUUAGGUGGGGUAACGGCUCACCUAGGCGACGAUCCAUACCUGGUCUGAGAGGAUGACCCGCAACACUGUAACGGAGACAAGGUCCAGCCUCCUACGUGAUGCAGCAGUGGGGAAUUUUGCACAAUGGGCGCAAGCCUGAUGCAGCCAUGCCGCGUGUAUGAAGAAGGCCUUCGGGUUGUACAGUACUUUCAGCGAGGAGGCGUUACUCGCCUAAGAAGCACCGGCUAACUCCGUGUCAGCAGCCGCGGUAAUUC